AUCUGAACCGUCCGAUCCUUCCAAAUUCUCAAUAAAUUACGACCUCCUCCUGUCGUUUAAACAUACCUUUUCCUUCUAUGCCCAACUCUGUAUUCUCCAGAUCUCUUCUGCGUAAUUUAGCUUCUUCAAAUUUCAUGUUCAGAUCUGUGUAGAUCGUCCUCCGAUCUGCCUUUUGAAUGUGGAUUUACUGUACUUCCAUAAAAGCUUGGCGAUUGGCCAACCGAGCGGUGGAAUCGUUCGAUUUCCGUCAACGUGUGGCCGCCGGUUGACCUUAGCUGUAGAUCUGAUGCUUUUCGCAAUGGUUCGAUGGAGCUGAGCAUCAGAUCUGUUUGGUCUUCAGAGAUUUGUUGAGGUUGGAUUAGUAGUUUGAGCAACCGAGGUGUUAUUUUACCGAGGCUUCCAACGUUGUUUUCUAGAGCUUUAUCGAUAUGAAUAGAGAUGCAAGGACUAUUGAAUCGGUGCUGCCGUUGUUUUGCAUCAAACGGUUUAGACUGGUAAUCUUCGAUCGAGGGUUGAAUCAGCUAGCGUGAUGGUGUAUUUAAGGUUAUAAUAGUUUAAUUUAUUGUCUACAAUUAUUUAAAUGGCUCAUUUGCAUUAGUUUUUAUUUAUUUAUUUAUGCAUAUGUACGCGAGGAUGAAAGAUUGAGCGACGUUGUGAGUUAUGAGAGGAAAAAUUGAGGUAUUUAUUGUCAUGUUAUCAGGCCUUUGCCAUGUUGGGUGCGCUCGCAUGGCAGGUCAAAAGUACAUUAUAAAAGUAUUCAUUUUGGGUGUUGGAGAGGAGAAGGCACGGGGUUUUGCCCGGCUCUGCUCUCUUUGCGUGUCUCGUGUCCUUUUUGGCUCUGCUCUUUCUUUUUUCCUGCGUCCAACAACUUUGCGUCGAUCAGUGGUUACUUGUCGUUGAAUAGGCCUUGUGAUUACUGUUGUGUAUUUUGAGGCGAGUCUUAUUCAAAGACAAGUAACUCAUGUUGAUUUGCUAUAUGCUCCACGGCGAUGGAUACAAGCAACGUUUCUACUGCAGCACGCCACUAGAGGUACAAUAUCAAUUCUCUUAGUUAAAGUUAACUAACAUUUUUUAUAACAUUUAUCAAUUCUAAACUGAUUGCCUUAAUUAUCACCUUCACUAACUUAUACUCGUAUAAAAGCUUCUAAACAGCACUUCUGGAAAUAUUAUACAAAGGCUGAAAUGCUCACAGCUUGGAAGUAACUUAUGUUAAGCACACCUGCACCUCUAUGGAAGUAACUUUAAGAAUAUAAUUUGGCCGCUGUUAAUUGGCUUGCGAACUUGCCAAUUUUUUAUACAGAGCACCUCAUAAUGUUCCCAUUAAUUGUUUUUAUAAAUUUUUCGCUCGUAAAUAAGACCUUAAUGCAUGAUGUCACAUAAAAAAUGGUGGUUACACCUUUAUUGGUUAUGGUAAGCUUAUGUUUUAUUUAAUAAAAUCUGAAAUUUGAACCAUCAUCUGAUAGUUGUGAUUGGGCAAGGAGCAUAACGUUAGAACUGGUAUUGCAAAGUUGUAUCUGAACUGUGUAUUAUUCUCAUUAAGGUUAGAUUUCAGUGUUUACUCUUUUAAGUUUCCACAGAUAUUUAAGAGGCUAUAAUCAGUAGUGAUAUUGGAAUAUAAAUUGGUUUAUGUAGCGAUAUGGUUGAUAAAAUAGCUGAAAUUAAGUAGCUAUCUUCUUACAAAAUGUUGCGGAAAAUCAUUGUGUUGGCAUCACAAAAUCUCGCUGACACUUGAAUGUUCCAUUUUCAUUAAUUCUGCAGAUGCAACUUAAUUCGGGUUUAUUCUUUUUAUAAAUGCGUACUCUUGGUUUACUUAGUCAAUAGUAGUGAGUUAUUGUUUCUUAGUCUAGUCGGAGCUUAGCUGUGUUCUCCUGAUCUAUGAUGUAAUAGUUUCAUUCCGAUGGAAGUUCUUUGUUAUGGUACCCCUAUUGUAGUGUUUUGGGAGGGGUACCUUGUGUAGCCAGGUUUGGAACUUUGACCUUAAAAACAAUUCAGUGUAUUCCGGUUAGAUUUGAUGCAUAUCAAAUGAUGGUGGGUGGCUGUGGCUUCCAAUAAGCUGGAGGCACAUUGGUGCUGGCGGCUGAAGUUGAAAUUUUUCGUGCUGCGCUUGAUGUAUAUGCUGCUUCUAGUUAAUAUGAAGCUUAGUUUUCUCCGUGUCCAUCAAGAAAUGGAGCUGCUGCUGCUGUUGAAGAUUUGAUAGCCUUGUGUUUGAUGUGCUUUCUGCAUGAGGUAAUUUCUCCGGGAUGCCACUUUGGUGAGGAAUUUGUGAAACUCUAAGCUUGUUGCUGUUACUGGUUUGAAUCUGUGGUUUUCAUUAUGUUUUGAAGCUGUGGUUCUGUGUGGUCAGCAAGUUAACAUCGCUUGGUUUUACAAGCCUUCAUCCAAGAUGAAGUGUUGACUGAAGAUGUUAGAGCUUGUUGCUGUUGCUGGUUUGGAUCUAUGGUUUUCAUUAUGUUUUGAAGCUGUGCUUUUGUGUAAUCAGCAAAAGUAUCAACCCCUGUUGGUUUUGCAAGCAGGUUCAUCAGAAAUGAAGUGCGUGACAGAAGAUGUCGGUCUGUAUAUCCAAAGGAAUUUAAAGAAAGCGUAUUUUCUGUGCCUUUACUAUUUUCUGAUUGGAAAAGUGAAGCUAGCUCCUUAGAAGAGUUGAUAUGGUAUUUCUUUUUAGAAGUAUUUUCUCAGGAAAACGUUGUAGCAAGCGACUGAUAUCUAGUCUCGAACUGUGUUGUUCAUGUGCUUUCUGGCAUUCUGAGGCAGUCUGCUGUUGCGAAUCUGCCGGUUCGGCAGUGUCUAAUUAGAAGAUUGUCUCUCUAUUAUAGAGAUACAGUUUGGAGAGAGCGUCAAUUUCACUGAUAAUUUGGUUUCAGAUGGGCUUUGUAUUUAUUAGUAGAAGAGAACUUGCAUGCAGGAUACAGUGUUGCAAUAUUUCUUGACGGAGUAUGGUUGGGUUUUGUGCUAGUCUUGGCAGUACAUGUUCAUCUUUUUAACAAGUUAUUAAACUCGAGAAUGUUCUAGAUUAUUAUUAUUGUUGUUUCAGUCUGCAAACAGUCAUUGUUGGGGUACUAAAUAAGAGAGCUUCCUGGAAUUACAAUGGAUCAAUUGAUGGGACCCUAAAAUGAGUGGCUAUGUUAAUGUUAAUGCAUUGCUUCUAAUUCUCAUCUCCGACAGAUUAGUGAUAAACACUGUUCCUAUUUUUUACCACUAAACAUGGUUGCUAUUUCCGUAUGGGUGAUAAACACCCCUAAAGAGGGUUGAUACUUCCAUCAAAUUUUCUUGAUCACAGGAACAUCUUUGAGGCUCAAAAGUAUAAAAUAUUCAGUUGGAAGUACAAGAGAUGGAAUUAAUAAUAUUUUUAAAUGUCUAGUAAUGUAAUCUUCAUACUGUGGCACUAAUUUUAAUCUUCAUAUUUCUCGAUUGAGUUGUUAUUAGGUAUUGCUCUCUGAGCUAGUAUUCUAACAGCUCACUUUUUAAUUCUC